CAAGCCAGGAGCUGCCAGCUGUGCCAGGAGCUGCCAGCUGUGCCAGGAGCUGCCAGCUGUGCCAGGAGCUGCCAGCUGUGCCAGGAGCUGCCAGCUGUGCCAGGAGCUGCCAGCGUCAGACAAUGUCAAAGUGGCAGCCUUGAUGAUCUCUGCAGCUCCCACUCCCAGCACAGAGUCACUGAGGUUGCAUCACAGACAGCGAUUUAGAGCACAUGGAAGCCUUUUUUUUUCUGUGGAAUUUAGGAACAUUACAGACUUCAUAGAGCAGCUGUGGUCGGGGGCAGACCUUGAAGGGUCCCCAAGCCCAACCCUUCUCCACCCCUCCCAGAUCUGGUAUUUCAUUUCUAAAUCGCCGACCAUAUUUCUUCAUCCAAGCCUGACAGCUGGCAAGUAACCCUCAGCUGGCAGGUCUGAGGAGGAGCAGCUGAGGGAGCUGGAGGUGUUUAGCCUGGAGCAGAGGAGGCCGAGGGGAGGCUUCAUUGCUCUCUGCAGCUCCCUGGAAGGAGAGUGGAACGAACUGGAGUGCAACCUUAGAAUCAUAAAGGAGACACAGCUGAGACAGGGGAGUAGUGAAGAGGUGACUGGCUACAAGCAGCAUGGCUUCACCAAGGGCACAUCCUGCCUGCCAAACCUGGUGGCCUUCUGUGAACAGGUCACAACAUUCAUAGAUGAGAGGGAGGGAAGCUCCGUUCCAACCUCUCACAGCUGAGGUGUAGAGAGCACUACAGUCUUCAGCUCUGGAGCACAAGAAGGACAUAGACCUUCUGGAGAGGGUCCAGAGGAGGCCACAGAGAUGCUCAGAGGGCUGGAGAACCUCCCCUGUAGGGACAGGCUGGCAGAGUUGGCUGGAUAGAUGGGAACUUGUUUGAGAUUCAACAAAGGCAAGUGCUGGGUCCUGCACUUGGGUCACAGCAGCCCCCUGCAAUGCACCUGGCUUGGGGAGGAGUCUUGGGAAAGCUUCCCAGCAGAGAAAGACCUGGGAGUGUUGAUUGAGAGCAGGCUGAAGUUGAGCCAGGGUGUGCCCAGGUGGCAAAGAAGACCAAGAGCAUCCUGGCCUGGCUCACCAAUGUGUAAGCAGCAGGAUCAGCCAGUGGGUCGCUCAUGCAGAGGAAGAAAUGCGAGCACGACCUAUAAAUCACUUCAAACACCGCUCCCCAGGCGCAGAGGCUUCGAGACGAGGCAAGACCUGUGCAUCCCGCAGCUGGUUUGGGCUUCUUCCUGCGCGGAGAAGAUCCCCUCCUGCAUGAGCUCAGGAGCAGCCCAACAUGCAACCACGGGACAAGAAAGCAGCCAAGGAGUGCAGAGAGAGCUUGUGUGUGCUGCCCUGGGACUGCCUGCCUGCUCAGCUUGUGUGUGCUGCCCUGGGACUGCCUGCCUGCUCAGCUUGUGUGUGCUGCCCUGGGACUGCCUGCCUGCCUGCUGAGCUUGUGUGUGCUGCCCUGGGACUGCCU